AUUGAACGCUGGCGGCAGGCCUAACACAUGCAAGUCGAACGAGUGGCGGACGGGUGAGUAAUGUCUGGGAAACUGCCUGAUGGAGGGGGAUAACUACUGGAAACGGUAGCUAAUACCGCAUACCAUCGGAUGUGCCCAGAUGGGAUUAGCGAGUGGGUGGGGUAACGGCUCACCUAGGCGACGAUCCCUAGCUGGUCUGAUCGGAUGACCAGCCACACUGGAACUGAGACAGGGUCCAGACUCCUACGGGAGGCAGCAGUGGGGAAUAUUGCACAAUGGGCGCAAGCCUGAUGAAGCCAGGCGGCGUGUAUGAAGAAGGCCUUCGGGUGGUAAAGUACUUUCAGCGGGGAGGCGUUACCCGCAGAAGAAGCACCGGCUAACUCCGUGCCAGCAGCCGCGGUAAUUC
rnacentral:rRNA from 1 species